CACGUAGGGACCAAGCGUUGUCCGGAUUCAUUGGGCGUAAAGAGCUCGUAGGCGGUUUGUUGCGUCGGCUGUGAAAUCCCGAGGCUCAACCUCGGGUCUGCAGUCGAUACGAGCAAACUAGAGUGUUGCAGGGGAGACUGGAAUUCCUGGUGUAGCGGUGAAAUGCGCAGAUAUCAGGAGGAACACCGGUGGCGAAGGCGGGUCUCUGGGCAACAACUGACGCUGAGGAGCGAAAGCGUGGGGAGCGAACAGG
rnacentral:rRNA from 1 species